GCAUAGCCAGCUCUCCCAUUGGCCAGCAUCAGAGAAAAUGAUCUUUUUUCCCCGUCAUGGAAGCUGUGAUUUUCAAAUGCCCAUGGCCCAGGAGAGACUGACGCCUAAGCCGAAUGGGGUGAAAACAAGAAAUCCUACAUACAGUAUUUUCAGGAUACGGAUAAACAAAACGUGGUCUAUCCAUACAACGGUCUAGUAUUUGGCCAUAAAAGGUCUGGAAUGCAUAAUUGGAAAGACAUUCUCAGCAACCCCCAGAAUCCCUGAAUUAAUUCUACAGCCUAUUGAAUCUAGAGACCACAGUUCAAAGAGACGAGUGCUACCACCAGGAGACACGACCGGGAUUCCAUUGAACUGCUACCUGGCCACCUUGGGCUCCUCAUGCCUUUGAAUAAACACAUAAAGAUAGUGCAAGUGGGGGACGAGACAGAGGCAGAG